GCGGGCGUAGCUCAAUUGGAUAGAGCAUCUGACUACGGAUCAGAAGGUUGAGGGUUCGAGUCCUUCCGCCCGUG
rnacentral:tRNA from 1 species